rnacentral:rRNA from 5 species
CCUGGCGGCCUUAGCGCGGUGGUCCCACCUGACCCCAUGCCGAACUCAGAAGUGAAACGCCGUAGCGCCGAUGGUAGUGUGGGGUCUC